AUGAAAAUUUUCAAUAUAUCAAAUUUUUAUUUUUCUAUCAUGCAGAAAUUAGAGAAGCUCUUUCAAGUAGAAAGAAAUUUCAAUUACAUUUCUCUAGUAACAUGGGAAUAUGAAGUACUUCAAAGGAGUAACUACAUAAGAAUAUACAAAAACGAUUUCUAG